UCUUUCUCAAUCCAUCCUUGAAAGGGCCAGGGGAGCCUUUCCCUGGAGGAUGUGGAAGGAGUGGGGUGCCGGUGGGAGGGGACGCAGGCUGGGUUUUAGAGGUGGCUUUGAGGCCAGUGGGGAGAGAGGGCUGGAGUAUGCGGUUCACAGCCUGAUGUGGGGCGACCUCUCUCCAGCCUCAUUCUGUGUGGACAUUUGUCUUCCUGAGCAUUAAAACGACAAACCCAAACAGGGCAGACAGAAGGAAAGAAGGCAGAAGGAGGAGGGCGAGGAAACAGAGAUCUUUCUGAGUAAAAGGGAGCUAGAAAGGCAUACGGAGAAUAAAACCAACGCCAUUGCAGAAGACCAGGGGAAAGAGAAGGAGCAACGUGCUAAUAAGAAUGAACUUUAGGUACAGCGGUGGGAUUUAAGGCAAAAGAUAAAAGACUUGGAGCUGACGAGAUGAAGUUCAAAGCUCGGAGUAGAAGAGGUAAAAUACUGAGAGAAAAGGCUCACAGACAAAAGCUGAGAUGUGAAGGUUGGGCGGAGCCUUUGCAUCUGAACAACUACAUCAGGACGGAGGAGCCUGGCUGCCCUGGACACCAGAAAUCACCGCGUUCUCAGGCCGGCCUUGUCUCUAAGUGUGAUUCCCACACACAGGCUCUCAACUGGGAGAGGCAGAGUAAUGCAUCCACGUGGCCAGUCUCGGAGCCCUGCCUGUGUUUCUGAUUUCCGCGGCACUGUUCUCUCGGUUGAGUCCAUCGUCCUUGAAAAGCACACGUGUAUAAGACACGACCUGAUUUCAAUGAAACAGACACCUUAAGAAUCUGAGCAAGUCGAGGUGACCUCUGAGCACGACCGCAGCAGUGCCCUGCGCCCCCCGGUGCGGACAGACCCGGGGGUGACACUCCUUCACAUGCUCCUGCAGGCACAGACACUGGACCCCCGAGGGCAGAGUUUAGUUCUGGGCAGCUGGGAAACAGAACAGGGGACAGCGCCAGAGAGGGGAGGGACAGGGGCCACACCCCCAUGACCCACCCGGAAGCGCACCACCAUCCCAGGGUGAUUCCACAGCCAAGCAGGUUGACACAGGUACGAGGUGGGUUUCAGACCGUGCUCCCGAAUCCCGAGGCUCCUUGGAGGACUUGCCAUGGCAGCCCCUAGGGAGAAGGUACAGCUAACCUAGAGGUGUUUGCAGCGGUACCCUCUCCUAGUCCCCACCCCACUCCCUCAGUCAGAGCACCGCGCUUUCACUGACUUCAUGUGUUUACAUCUCCAUCCGGCUUAGCUGGAGCGGCUACGCUGCAACAAACAUUCCUUUUAAAUCUAGGCUUUGAGCGUGGUGACCUUGAAUGCGGUGUAAAAGCCCUCCACUGGCUGAGGAGAUUUGUGUAAGAUCGGUGGCUGGGAGAGUUUCACCCGGUGUGGGCUGCGAUCCAGGCAGGCGCCUCUCACUUUCCAAAAUCACGUCAGCUCUCAGGGCUGAAGCAGAGCACAAGCAUCAGGAGCACAGCGCACAGCAGACCUGGAACAAAGCGCACAGCACCACCAGUGAGAUCCCACGCCGGGCGGCCCCGACUCAGCGGCUGGCGCUCUGACAGGAUAGACGGAGCGGGAAGGUUGCCAGGAAACUCUGGAGAUCGAAUUGCUUUUGCCAAGCCAGCCCCGCAGUGCAGUCAAGAGCUAAGGAGCCCCAAGAGAGGGCUGGGAAAGGACCGGUCUCUGUUUCUCUGCCCCCAAGGUGGGCCCUUUUUGAUUAGAAAAGUGGAGUGUAAAGGAAGUUAUCGGGUGAAAUCAACUCAGCAAGAAACCUUUUAAGACCAAAGCCCCCGGAAAACCAAUAAAACCAGAUGAGCUGCUUCCUGCUUAUCAUGUCACACAUCGUGCACGGAGGUCAGCUUGCUUUCAGCACGGCCAGGCUGCCAGACAAAUAGGAAUUCCAGUUCUACAAAGAGGUUUUCACCCCCAAAGGAGAGCCUGGCUCCUUCAAGGGACAGUUGCUGUGUGGAGCUCUGGGUCAAGCAGAAAGUGAUUCUGAGAGACGCCAUUGCCGCCUCACCUCGCCUACGCAUAGGGGUUACAUUUAGCUGGGAGAAGCAGCCCGGAGCAGAGCUGAGACCAAUCAGUGGUUCUAGUUUCCUAGGUGAGAGCAGGGGCGGGGCCCAGCCCAGGUCUGGAGCUGGGCUCAGGGAUGUCAGGGCCCAGGCUCGUAGUGGAACCUGCGUUUUUCACUGGGAGCCAAUGACCGUGCCUGCUCCUCUCUGGAAUCUUCUCCGUGCUCUAGGUACGGGAAAGGGGACAGCAGAGCGUGCUCCUCCUCCUCUACUCUGUCCCCACAUCUUUCUGGAAACUUCAUCCACUGGCUUCUGCUUGGAAAGGUCACAACCCACUCUGUCUGCCAAGGAUGCUUAGGCAUGUGGCUUUAUUAGCUGGGUGUGCUGCUGUAUUCAGUAAAAUUCAUGCUUGUUUCUAAGGAAGAAAGGGAGCAGGCACACCAUCCUACCAGCUCGCCACUGGGAGACCUACCACAGGUCCUGCCUCUUAGUGAGGUGGUGCGGUUGUCCACCUUCUGGACUCCUUUGGGCCACUCCACUGUUCUCUGUCAGCUGAUCCAAUCACCUGCGGUUCACAAACAUUAAAAAACUGUGCUGAACAUGCACAGACCCUUUUCUUCUCACUAUCUCCUGAAAGCAGUGUAAGAAAUUUCACACAGCUGCAUUGUACGAGGUGCUGUGAGCCAUUCAGGGGGUUCACACACAGGAAGAAGGGCACAGAUGCCUGCACACUCACACUGUUCUGCAGGAGGGACCCGAGUGCCUGCAGGUUUUGGCAUCUGGAGGGGUCCUGGGACCAGUGCCCCGGAGGGGUCCGUUCCUGCUUCUCACUGUGCUUUGCCUCUGUACAGGGGGCUCUGCUCUCCCCCUGGCCCCGGGCCCCUCACUGGGUGUCACCCGUAAGGGUCAGGUGGUAGCCCCAUCUGUUCCACGGCUAGGAUGGCUGCAAGUGCCACUGAGGUUGGGUCACAGCGCUGUGCAUGGGGAGUGUUGGCUUCAGCCCUUGGCAGGCGGGGCAGCGGGACCCAGGCCUGGGAGACCUGGACAUUCCUCCUGGGGACACUGCAAGAAUUAAAUAAAUUAGUGCAAGUUAGAGCAAUUCUUCUUAGAUCAGCUAUGAGAAAGGACUGGUUCAUUUCUUUUCCUAAAAGAAAUAAUGAGAUCCCAGUUAUUGAGAUUUCCUUGGUUUUCGCCUCAGGCUGCUUCUCUUGUAAGAGUGCCUUCCGGUCCUGUGACAGCUGGGCCUCCUGUCUCCCGGCUCCUCUGGGCGGCGGCAUUUCCAGAUGUGUCGGUGUCUGACGCCCAGGAGGAUGGAGGAGCACUGACUGGGUCAUCUGUAGAACGUCCCACUGCUGGUUUCUGGGGAGAAUGGCGCUGUGGCUGCUGAGAGGAGGACGGACAGCUAGCCUUACUGCACAUCAUAGGCACAGAUCUACAACACAAAUCCUCAACCAAAUGAGGUCUCCAGUCACUGCACGCGUGGGGACUGUGGCCGUGUCACGGUGCCAUGCAGCAUCUGAGUGUUUCCUGUCAGCUCACCUACUCAUCCACGCUGUCCUGCCUGGCAGAGCCGCCUGGAGCCUGUCGCACGCAGGGUGGUAUUGUGCCAGCACCUAUGACAUGGGGCUUUCCAUAACUAACGCCAGAACACCCCGGGGAUUCAGAAACAAUAGGCAAAUGUGAGCUGGAAUCCUGGAGUCGCUACAGGCGGAAGAGGAAGGGACCCUGGCGAGAUUCUUGCUACUUCCUUCUCCUACAGAUACAGAAGUGGAGUCCUAGGGGAUGGAGGCUGUGUCCUGUGGAAAUGUGGCGGCCACCUGCUCCUGGCCAGCCCCAUGUUCCUCACGGUGUACUUCCCACCACCUGACUCUGACCAGAACCUCUGGGGGCACAGAAGAAGAGCAGAACGGACAUCAGAGGGCCCGAGAUCCACCACCCUGCCCCAUUUCUCCCGGACUUCCUAACCUCCCACCGCCUCAUUAGAACUUCAAUGAGCAGCGGAAGAUGCGAAAACGCUGGAGAAGCAGAGGUGCCCACUUGGAUACAACUGACAUUCAGAUCAUUGAUCAUCGGGGCCAGUUUACACUUUGGAGAUAAGUCAGUCUCUAUCCUAUGGAAGUCGGAGGCACAGAAGCCCCAGUCUGCCUCUUCUGUGGCUGUGAGCUGCUGGGCA